GGUGCUAUAGUGUAGUGGUUAUCACUCGGGAUUUUGAUGCUCUCUCUCCCAAUAAUAUGUCAUAUAUUCCCGAAACCCAGGUUCGAACCCUGGUAGCACCU